rnacentral:rRNA from 1 species
UACGGAGGGUGCAAACGUUGCUCGGAAUCAUUGGGCGUAAAGCGCACGUAGGCGGUCGGCUAUGUCGGAUGUGAAAGCCUCGGGCUUAACCCGAGAAGGGCAUCCGAAACUGGCCGGCUUGAGUACGGAAGAGGGUCUCGGAAUUCCCGGUGUAGAGGUGAAAUUCGUAGAUAUCGGGAGGAACACCAGUGGCGAAGGCGGAGACCUGGGCCGAUACUGACGCUGAGGUGCGAAAGCGGUGGGGAGCAAACAGGG